CUCCCCGUAGCUCAGCUGGAGAGAGCGGCGGUUUCCUAAACCGCAGGCCGGAUGUUCGAGACGUCCCGGGGAGACCC
rnacentral:tRNA from 1 species